UACGGAGGGUGCAAGCGUUAUCCGGAUUCACUGGGUUUAAAGGGCGCGUAGGCGGCCAUUCAAGUGACGGGUGAAAGCCCUCGGCUUAACCGAGGAACUGCCUGUCAGACUGGAUGGCUUGAGACCGGGAGAGGUGAGUGGAAUUCCCAGUGUAGCGGUGAAAUGCGUAGAUAUUGGGAGGAACACCAGUGGCGAAGGCGGCUCACUGGACCGGAACUGACGCUGAGGCGCGAAAGCGUGGGGAUCAAACAGG
rnacentral:rRNA from 1 species